UUGGCUUCGUUUGGACUGUAGCCCUUCUUGGUGAUGGACACACAGCGGUUCAACAAACUGUGACAGUCUUUAGCUCUCUAUUGCUUUCAGCAGUCCUGUCGUAGGGGCUGCUAGGGGGCGAGACACU
rnacentral:lncRNA from 1 species